GUUUGCUGAAACAUCCAAGAACUCUGCUGACUUCUCAGACCUGACAAAGUUUGGUGCCUCCUCAAAUCAGACAGAUGUUGUUACUCUCACUACUUGUGAUUCUCCCCGACCCGCAGUGAUCCGCUGAUGUACUACAAAUGUUUCCUCAUUUCUUGGAUGUCAAAGGACUUAUUGUGCAAGAGUUCUCACUGAUGUUUGGAGCAGAGGCUGCUUCAAAGUUCCUGGAAAAAUGGAACACCAGUUUUA